rnacentral:rRNA from 1 species
AUUGAACGCUGGCGGCAGGCCUAACACAUGCAAGUCGAACGAGUGGCGGACGGGUGAGUAAUGUAUGGGAAUCUGCCCUAUGGAGGGGGAUAACUACUGGAAACGGUGGCUAAUACCGCAUACUAUCGGAUGAGCCCAAGUGGGAUUAGGUAGUUGGUGGGGUAAAGGCUCACCUAGGCGACGAUCUCUAGCUGGUCUGAGAGGAUGACCAGCCACACUGGGACUGAGACACGGCCCAGACUCCUACGGGAGGCAGCAGGGGGGAAGAUUGCACAAUGGGGGCAAGCCUGACGCAGCCAUGCCGCGUGAAUGAAGAAGGCCUUCGGGUUGUAAAGUUCUUUCGGUAGCGAGGCGUUAACUACAGAAGAAGCACCGGCUAACUCCGUGCCAGCAGCCGCGGUAAUUC